rfam:Triticum aestivum genome assembly, contig: Triticum_aestivum_CS42_TGACv1_scaffold_145898_2BS
GAUGUACUCCCUCCGCCCGGAAAUACUUGUCAUCAAAAUGGAUAAAACGGGAUGCAUCUAUUUUUAUCUAUUUUGAUGACAAGUAUUUUCGGACGGAGGGAGUACGAA